UACGGAGGGUGCAAGCGUUAUCCGGAUUCACUGGGUUUAAAGGGUGCGUAGGUGGGUUGGUAAGUCAGUGGUGAAAUCCCCGAGCUUAACUCGGGAACUGCCAUUGAUACUAUCAGUCUUGAAUACCGUGGAGGUCAGCAGAAUAUGUCAUGUAGCGGUGAAAUGCUUAGAUAUGACAUAGAAUACCAAUUGCGAAGGCAGCUGGCUACCCGAAUAUUGACACUGAGGCACGAAAGCGUGGGGAUCAAACAGGAUUAGAUACCCUGGUAGUCCACGCCCUAAACUAUGGAUACUCGACAUACGCGAUACACUGUGUGUGUCUGAGCGAAAGCAUUAAGUAUCCCACCUGGGAAGUACGACCGCAAGGUUG
rnacentral:rRNA from 1 species